rnacentral:lncRNA from 1 species
AGAAGAACACAAAAGAAUUUGUUGACCCAGUUCGGUCCAAAUUGACCUAGUCUGGGGGAGAGAGCAGCUCUCCGAUCCACUAUAUGAUGAGUAACGUUACAAAGAGAAAUCAAUGGGUUACAAGAAUAAGUCUCCCGCCUAAUUCUACCCAAAGUCCCAACCUCUUCCCGUAACCAAGAGACUCAAUCCUAAUAGUGUUUCCCAAGGUGAAUCAACCCUCAAACCCUAGUGUUUGUUCCAAAGAGACAAACUCUAUACAAACCCUAGUUUUGUUGUUGCCUUUCUAAACCCUUGUUUCAGCCCCCUCUAUCUCUCUCAAAGUUUGCUCUGAUAUAAGGUCUAUAUUUAUUGUAAAAGUAUCGCUUAAAAUUUGGAACAAAUCUGCACCCAAAAUAUGUUUCUGUUUUUCGCUGCCAGCACACCAUCGUGCAACGAUGCGAUCCCAUUGUGCUACGAUUUUUCCAGUGCUUUGCCUCAAACUUGAAACCUCCAAUCGUGCCACGUUGCCUAGCCAUCGUGCCACGAUUCUGCAGAAAUCUGAUUUUAAGUUAACUCUUACAAUUCUCCACUUUGACUUCAAAUCAGUGAUGAUGUCAAUCAUCAACCACCUUGCUGAUCUUUCCCUUGCUUCCCACUACACCAAGUAGCUCCACAAGUUUACACCUCAUAACCCCUUCAGCCCUCGGAAUGUCUUCCGCCUUCUCGAAAGGUCCUUGCAGUCCAACUACACUAGGAAUUUUAGGUAGCUCCACAAGCAUUCACCUUAACCUCUUCAGCCAUCGGAGCGUCUUCCGUCUUCUCGAAGAGUACUUGCAGUCCAACUACGCUAGGAAUUUUAGGUAGUCCCACAAGCAUUCACCAUAACAUCUUCAAUGCAGGACAUCUCCCGCUUCCUUGAAGGUCACCUUGCAUCCAAUCACCCUUGGCCUUCUUUUAGAGUAAUCCCGCAAGUCGUGCUAUACAUUCUUCAACCUCAUGAAGAAAUCCCUUCCUCACCAUAGAGCAUAGCACCCAAGGUCUUCCAUAGUCGUACCAUUACCAGUGUGUUCAACUCCACCUCACGAUGAGCGUACUCUACCUCAACUAGCAAAUGCGUACAUCUCACUAUGUCUUCAACCUUGAAACUCCACCUCAACAGGUAGAUCAUGAGUAUUAUUACCACCGCAACUCCAGGCUGAUGUUGAGUGUUUAACGUCUCUCCAGACGACCACCUGUAACACCCCGUUACCCAAAAUCAAUUUAAUAAAUAAUAAUUCAACAUCAGAUCAGUAAAUCCCAAACGGGCAUGUCACACUACUAAUUCAAAAUUUCUUAAAUAGAAUAUAAAAUCUAUUUAAUAAACAUCCUUCAAAAUUAUUAUUAAAUUUGCAGCGGAAUAUUUUUCAACUUAAAUAAUAACAACAUCCAACAUAAUUAUUCUCCAACAAAUAAUCUUGGCAUAAAAGCCUAACAACAGAAAUUCAUCAACCAUAGGGCUACAUCAGCAAUAUUCAAAAUUGAUACAUAGGAAUAAAGGUAACAUUAAAUCCCAUCCCACGUAUCAGAGCCCUAGAUACUUUGAGCCACCACUUACUACUCAGGAUCACCUGCAAGUUACCCAUAGAAAGGGUAACCUUUUCAAGCAGAAGGGGUGAGAUUCACAAUAAAAUAUAGAUAAAUAAUUCAUCAAUUUGAAUCUAACACCCUAUCAUAAUAAUAAUUCAUCAACAUAUAUAAUAUCAUCAUUAUUAAUAUCAACAACAUUCGGUAAUUUAAGACCAAUAACUGCAACUCAUGCAACACUCGACACCUCCACUAGACUCCUCUACAAUGCAUGUGGUACCAUAAUCAGGGCCGAAGCUCUCCCGCUAAUUGAAUGGUUAAAGCAUUCGCAUUCAUUUUCAGGACAUAAGUCCUCACCGCUAAACACCGCUUUGAACAACUAGUGUUCCACCGCUUUGAACGACAAGGCGUUCCAGAGCCGAAGCUCUCCCGCUUUUAUGCUUAUGCAACUGACACACUUGUGUAUAUCUACAUACAACUCAACCAAUGCAUAUAUAUGUAUAUGACUCACCACUCCAAAAUGCAACAUCAUGUAUAACUUAAUUAAAUGGAAGCAUACAUUCCAGCCAACAACAAAUCAUUAUAACCAAUCCAAACAUCCCAGAAAAAUACACCAUUUAUAAUAGCCAUGCUUAAACAUCAAGAUAAAUAAACAAUCAUCAAAACAGAACCAACAACUCAAAGUUUGGGCAACUCGCCUCGCGAGUACUUCUACUCGAUGUGGCGAACUCACGACAAAGGGUCACUCGCUAUGGCGAGUUCAAGGCGAACAGAAAAAGGCUGCUCUCGGGAGUUUUGACAUUUUUCUCACUAAAUCUUCAAUUCUAAGCUCCCUAUUCAACUUUUUAAUCUAAAACUUGCUCCAGUCCUCUCUAAAAUCAUCUAGGUACACAAAACUAACCAAAUUACGGCUUAUAACAACAAUUGAAAAACCUAGAAUUUCUCACGGGCACUCGCCACGGCGAGUUGUCUCACUCGCGAGGCGAGCUAUGAAGUUGCUCACUCGCCUUGGCGAACAAGGUUACUCGCGACGCGAGCGAUGAACUUCUGUACGGGCAGAAUGCAGGUUUUUCCCAAAAAUCCCAUUUUUCCUCAAAUCACUCCCCAAAUUAGUUUACAGAUAUGAAAUGAAAUGUUGUAUGCACUCAGAACCCAUUUCUAACAUCAAUACAACCGUUCCUACUCUCAAAACCCAUUAAUUCAUCAAAAACCCAAUUUUCCCAAUUCUAUCAUAAACCGGUUAAAAUCAAAAUCAGAAUUCAAUAUCUAUACUAAUGAAGCAAACCUCACCCUUACCUUAGAAUUGCAGAAAGAAAUGCACAUAAAUUGAUGAACUUGGCUCUACUUGCUCUUCUCUCCCUUUUCUCCCAAAACUGACAGUUUUUCACGUAAAACGUUUCUGACUCUUUCUUUUCUUAACUCACCAAAAAGUAACUUCCCUUCCUUUUCAUUAAACUCCCUUAAUUCUAUUAAAUAUUAAUUAACUCCCUACACUCCAAAAUAAUACUAAUUUCUCACUUAAUCUAAUUAUUAUUAAAAUAAACCUUAUAAUAAAAUAUAACACACCACAUAAAUCACCAAUAUUAUUUAAAAUCACAUAAAAGACUCUAAAUAAAUCCAAAAUAAAUAAAUUAACGACUAGGGCGUUACACCACCGCUCCACUAGGCAUCCAUCCCAAGGUGAGACACAUCACCUUCUUCAUCCUCCAAACAACACCACACCAUCAAAGCACAAGAAUCCUCAUAACCCUCAGAGACAAUUUGUGCGGAGUUACCAAUAAUAUCCAGACAAUCCUUCUUGAAGUGACCCAUCUUGUGACAGUUAAAGCAUUCAGACUUUGACUUGUUACCACUCUUUCUCCGGUUACCUCUACCUCCACCAUUCCCUCUUGAGACACUUAGGCCUUCACCGUGUUCAUGAACUCUCAAGUCCUUGGACUUGGUCAACUCCUUGGUUCUCAAAGCCGCUUGAACUUCUUCCAAGGUAACAGUGCCUUCUUUGCCAUAGAGCAUGGUAUCUUUGAACGAUUCAAAAGAUUUCGAUAGAGCACAUAACAAGAGUAUAGUUUUAUCCUCAUCCUCAAGUUGCACCUCAAUAUUCUCCAAGUCAUCAAGGAUUUUGUUGAACUCUGUAAGUUGCUCCAUGAUGGUCUUUGACUCCACCAUCCUGAAUGAGUAGAGUUGUUGCUUUAGGAAUUGCCGAUGAGUCAAAGAUUUUGUCAUAUACAAAGAUUCCAACUUUGCCCACAUAGAUGCCGCAGUUCGUUCCUUUGCUACUUCUCUCAAAACUUUAUCUCCGAGGCACAAGACAAUGGCACUCCUGGCCUUGUCCACCAUAUUUCCCAAUAGUGUUUCCCAAGGUGAAUCAACCCUCAAACCCUAGUGUU